rnacentral:rRNA from 1 species
CCCUUAGAUGUCCUGGGCCGCACGCGCGUUACACUGAUGCAUUCAACGAGCUUAUAACCUUGGCCGAGAGGCCUGGGCAAUCUUGUUAACGUGCAUCGUGAUAGGGAUAGAUUAUUGAAAUUAUUAAUCUUGAACGAGGAAUUCCUAGUAAACGCAGAUCAUCAAUCUGCAUUGAUUACGUCCCUGCCCUUUGUACACACCGCCCGUCGCACCUACCGAUUGGAUGGUCCGGUGAAGCCUCGGGAUUGUGGUUCUUGCCGCUUUAUUGUGGCGUGACCGCGUGAACUUGUCUAAACCUUAUCAUCUAGAGGAAGGUGAAGUCGUAACA